rnacentral:rRNA from 1 species
AUUGAACGCUGGCGGCAUGCUUUACACAUGCAAGUCGAACGGUAACAGGCCUUCGGGCGCUGACGAGUGGCGAACGGGUGAGUAAUGCAUCGGAACGUGCCCAGUCGUGGGGGAUAACUAUCCGAAAGGAUAGCUAAUACCGCAUACGAUCUGCGGAUGAAAGCGGGGGACCUUCGGGCCUCGCGCGAUUGGAGCGGCCGAUGUCAGAUUAGGUAGUUGGUGGGGUAAAGGCUCACCAAGCCAACGAUCUGUAGCUGGUCUGAGAGGACGACCAGCCACACUGGGACUGAGACACGGCCCAGACUCCUACGGGAGGCAGCAGUGGGGAAUUUUGGACAAUGGGCGCAAGCCUGAUCCAGCAAUGCCGCGUGCAGGAAGAAGGCCUUCGGGUUGUAAACUGCUUUUGUACGGAACGAAACGGCUCUGGUUAAUACCCGGGGCUAAUGACGGUACCGUAAGAAUAAGCACCGGCUGACUACGUGCCAGCCGCCUCAGUAAUAC